AGAGUUUGAUCCUGGCUCAGGACGAACGCUGGCGGCGUGCUUAACACAUGCAAGUCGAGCGGAUUAAUGAACCAGCUUGCUGGUUCAUUUUUUAGCGGCGGACGGGUGAGUAACACGUGGGCAACCUGCCCUAUGAUGGGGGAUAGCCAACCGAAAGGUUGAUUAAUACCGCAUGAUAAGUAUCCAUCACAUGGUGGAAACUUUAAAGGAGAAAUCCGUCAUAGGAGGGGCCCGCGGCCCAUUAGCUAGUUGGUGAGGUAACGGCCCACCAAGGCGACGAUGGGUAGCCGACCUGAGAGGGUGAUCGGCCACAUUGGAACUGAGACACGGUCCAGACUCCUACGGGAGGCAGCAGUGGGGAAUAUUGCGCAAUGGGGGAAACCCUGACGCAGCAACGCCGCGUGGAGGAUGAAGGCCUUCGGGUUGUAAACUCCUGUCUUCGCUGACGAAAGAUGACGGUAAGCGAGGAGGAAGCCACGGCUAACUACGUGCCAGCAGCCGCGGUAAUACGUAGGUGGCGAGCGUUGUCCGGAAUUACUGGGCGUAAAGGGUGCGUAGGCGGAAUCUUAAGUCAGAUGUGAAAUCCCUGGGCUUAACCCGGGAAUGGCAUUUGAAACUGGGGUUCUAGAGUGCAGGAGAGGAAAGCGGAAUUCCUAGUGUAGCGGUGAAAUGCGUAGAUAUUAGGAAGAACACCAGUGGCGAAGGCGGCUUUCUGGACUGUAACUGACGCUGAGGCACGAAAGCGUGGGGAGCAAACAGGAUUAGAUACCCUGGUAGUCCACGCUGUAAACUAUGAGUGCU
rnacentral:rRNA from 1 species